GGGUUACACCCGGGAGAGUAGGUCGCCGCCACAU
rnacentral:rRNA from 1 species